rnacentral:rRNA from 1 species
GACGAACGCUGGCGGCGUGCCUAAUACAUGCAAGUUGAGCGAUGAAGAUUGGUGCUUGCACCAAUUUGAAGAGCAGCGAACGGGUGAGUAACGCGUGGGGAAUCUGCCUUUGAGCGGGGGACAACAUUUGGAAACGAAUGCUAAUACCGCAUAACAACUUUAAACAUAAGUUUUAAGUUUGAAAGAUGCAAUUGCAUCACUCAAAGAUGAUCCCGCGUUGUAUUAGCUAGUUGGUGAGGUAAAGGCUCACCAAGGCGAUGAUACAUAGCCGACCUGAGAGGGUGAUCGGCCACAUUGGGGCUGAGACACGGCCCAAACUCCUACGGGAGGCAGCAGUAGGGAAUCUUCGGCAAUGGACGAAAGUCUGACCGAGCAACGCCGCGUGAGUGAAGAAGGGUUUCGGAUCGUAAAACUCGGUUGGUAGAGAAGAACGUUGGUGAGAGUGGAAAGCUCAUCAAGUGACGGUAACUACCCAGAAAGGGACGGCUAACUACGUG